AGUCGAACGGUAACAGGACGCUAGGAUCCCUUCGGGGUGACUUUGUCGCUGACGAGUGGCGGACGGGUGAGUAAUGCAUAGGAAUCUACCCAGUAGUGGGGGAUAACGUGGAGAAAUUCACGCUAAUACCGCAUAUGUCCUACGGGACAAAGCAGGGGACCUUCGGGCCUUGCGCUAUUGGAUGAGCCUAUGUCGGAUUAGCUAGUUGGUAGGGUAAAAGCCUACCAAGGCGACGAUCCGUAGCUGGUCUGAGAGGAUGAUCAGCCACACUGGGACUGAGACACGGCCCAGACUCCUACGGGAGGCAGCAGUGGGGAAUAUUGCACAAUGGGCGCAAGCCUGAUGCAGCAAUGCCGCGUGUGUGAAGAAGGCCUGCGGGUUGUAAAGCACUUUUAUUAGGAAAGAAAAACCCGGAGUUAAUACCUCCGGCAUUGACGGUACCUAAAGAAUAAGCACCGGCUAACUCAGUGCCAGCAGCCGCGGUAAUACUGAGGGUGCAAGCGUUAAUCGGAAUUACUGGGCGUAAAGCGAGUGUAGGCGGCUAUUUAAGUCGGAUGUGAAAUCCCCGGGCUCAACCUGGGAAUUGCAUUCGAAACUGAAUAGCUAGAGUUUGGUAGAGGUAAGUGGAAUUCCGGGUGUAGCGGUGAAAUGCGUAGAUAUCCGGAGGAACAUCAGUGGCGAAGGCGGCUUACUGGACCAAAACUGACGCUGAGGCUCGAAAGCG
rnacentral:rRNA from 1 species